rnacentral:ncRNA from 1 species
AAAAAACUUUUUUAAUUCUACUUUUAUAAAGUUAAUUCUAGCUUUUAUAUUUAUAAAUUAUUUAUUUGUAUAUAUACAUAUUUGUAAAAAUUAAUUGAAUUUAAAAAAUUUUUAAGUUAUAUUAUAAUAUUUAAUAUUAAACAAUAAAGAAAUUUAGAUUUAGUAUAAUAAAAAUUAUUGACAAAUUUUGUGCCAGCAGUCGCGGUUAUACUAAAAAUAAAUUAAAUAUAUAUUUAUAAAUAAUUAAUAUGAAAAUUUAUAAAUUAAAAUAAUAAUUAAAUUGUUAGGUAAAAUUAUAAUUUAAUUUAAUUUUUAAAAUUUAAAUUAUUUAUGAAGUUAAUGAAUUAAAUUUAAUUAGACUAGGAUUAGAUACCCUAUUAUAGAAAUUAAAAUUAAAAUUUAUAAGGUAGUAAGAGUUAUAUGCUUGAAACUUAAAGGAUAUGGCAGUAUUUUAAUCUAAUUAGAGGAACCUGUUUAUUAAUUGAUACUCCACGAUUAAUUUUACUUAAAUUAUUUAGUUUGUAUAUCAUUGUUAUAAAAAUUUUUUUCAGAAAAAAAAAUUUAAUUAUUUAAAAUAAAAUUUAUAUCAAAUCAAGAUGCAGUUUAUAUUUAAGAAUUUAAUGGGUUAUCAUAAAAAAAUUUAUGGAAAUAGAGUGAAAUAUGAUUUAUAAAAAAGAUUUAUAAGUAAUUUAUAUAAUUUAAUUUAAAUGAUAAAAGUUCUAAAAUAUGUACAUAUUGCCCGUCAUUUUCAUUUUAAAUUGAAACAAGUCGUAACAUAGUAGAAUUACUGGAAAGUGUUUCUAGAAAGAA